rnacentral:rRNA from 1 species
GAUGAACGCUGGCGGCGUGCUUAACACAUGCGAGUCGAACGGAAAGGCCCAAGCUUGCUUGGGUACUCGAGUGGCGAACGGGUGAGUAACACGUGGGUGAUCUGCCCUGCACCUCGCGACAAGCCUGGGAAACUGGGUCUAAUACCGGAUAGGACGAUGGCUUGGAUGCCAUUCUUGAAAGUUUUUUCGGUGUGGGAUGAGCUCGCGGCCUCUCAGCUUGUGGGUGGGGUAAUGGCCUACCAAGGCGUCGAGGGGUAGCCGGCCUGAGAGGGGGUACGGCGACAUUGGGACUGAGAUACGGCCCAGAGUGCUCAGGGAGGCAGCAGUGGGGAAUAUUGCACAAUGGGCGCAAGCCUGAGGGAGGGAAGCCGCGUGGGGGAUGAGGGCCUUCGGGUUGUAAACUCCUUUCGCUAGGGACGAAGCGUUUUUGUGACGGUACCUGGAGAAGAAGCACCGGCUAACUACGUG